GACGAACGCUGGCGGCGUGCUUAACACAUGCAAGUCGAACGGUGAAGCGAGUGCUUGCACUCGUGGAUCAGUGGCGAACGGGUGAGUAACACGUGAGUAACCUGCCCAUCACUCUGGGAUAAGCACUGGAAACGGUGUCUAAUACUGGAUACGACCAACCCUUGCAUGGGGUGUUGGGGGCAAGAUUUAUCGGUGCUGGAUGGACUCGCGGCCUAUCAGCUUGUUGGCGGGGUAAUGGCCCGCCAAGGCGACGACGGGGAGCCGGCCUGAGAGGGUGACCGGCCCCACUGGGACUGAGACACGGCCCAGACUCCUACGGGAGGCAGCAGUGGGGAAUAUUGCACAAUGGGCGAAAGCCUUAUGCAGCGACGCCGCGUGAGGGAUGACGGCCUUCGGGUUGUAAACCUCUUUCAGCAGGGAAGAAGCGAAAGUGACGGUACCUGCAGAAGAAGCACCGGCUAACUACGUG
rnacentral:rRNA from 1 species